rnacentral:rRNA from 1 species
UGCGUAGGCGGCGCGGAAAGUUGGGUGUGAAAUCCCUCGGCUCAACCGAGGAACUGCGCCCAAAACUACCGUGCUCGAGGGAGAUAGAGGUGAGCGGAACUUAGGGUGGAGCGGUGAAAUGCGUUGAUAUCCUAAGGAACACCCGUGGCGAAAGCGGCUCACUGGGUCUCUUCUGACGCUGAGGCACGAAAGCUAGGGUAGCGAACG